rnacentral:rRNA from 1 species
UACGGGGGGGGGUAAGCGUUGUUCGGAAUUACUGGGCGUAAAGGCUCGUAGGCGGCCAACUAAGUCAUACGUGAAAUCCCUCAGCUUAACUGGGGAACUGCGUGUGAUACUGGAUGGCUUGGAUUUGGGAGAGGGAUGCGGAAUUCCAGGUGUAGCGGUGAAAUGCGUAGAUAUCUGGAGGAACACCGGUGGCGAAGGCGGCAUC